rnacentral:tRNA from 1 species
GCCGCGGUGGCUCAGUCGGUAGAGCGUCAGUCUCAUAAUCUGAAGGUCGUGAGUUCGAUCCUCACCCGGGGCA